rnacentral:miRNA from 1 species
UCUGCCUCAUCCUUCCCCAGU